AGGGGCAGUGUUCGGCCACUGCUAGUCAAAGACCAAGAGCCCCCCUGUUCCAGAGGCUGGGGAAUAGAACUGUUUUGAGGUCACAACUUGCUACUUACCUAACGAAAAACCUGAAUGACAGCCCAGCAGUGCUCCUGCACAACCCACCAACACCAACAUUCUGCUUGUUCCACCAGGUUAAUAUCUCCAGCCCUUAGCUGUCUUCAUCCCUUUCUGCUGUGCUAACUCCAGUUUACUUGUGUAUGUCCUGGGGGAGGUACCACCAGACACAGGGUGAUGGACGUGGUCAAACAAGAGCUGAGUACUCCCACUGCUCCAGGAGGUGGGAUCUUUCCUCAUUUCCAGUGACAUUUAAGAGUCUUCCAAGGAAAGAUCUUUGUUCAAGACCAUGGAUGGGGUUCAAAAACUUUUGGAUUUGAACUUCGGGAUUUGAACUUCAGCCUGAACUUCAGGAUUUGUCACUUCUGGGUUACUGCACACAGAUAGGGUGUGGACACUUCCUCCUCCUCUGUUUUGCUAAUCCAGCCUUCUGUUUCUGCUUUUCCUGUGUUUGUAUAAAAAUACCCCAAAGCAAAGAUAUUAAAUUUUGAUCAAAUCAGUAA